CCGAGUAAUAAACAAAAUUUUAUUUGGCUAGAAAUUUCGACAACAUAAAGGAAUGAUAGGUAAAAAAUGACGAUGUCUUUUGUUUUGCAUUGGGCUCYCUGUGUUAUGUACCAUACACUCACCUGCCUAAAACAUUAGUAUUCAAACAAGAAAAAAGCAACAACAAAGAAAACAAGAAUGCAAUAUCUCAUCCAAACAUAUUUUCAAUUUUUUCACUUCGUUUUUAAUGAGGUUAAAAAAUAUGGGUUUCCUGUGUUUCAAGAAGAACGUUCAACCCAGUCUUCUCACAAAUACCGCGCGAGUUUGCAGUGACGGUGUUGUGAUCGAAAAUGAACGUGUUUGGCUUGGAAAACUGGCAAAAGACAAAUCCUAGCUGUAUUUUAAGAGGAACAGUAAUACAAGUGGAAAUUAGUGAAAGAUCUGUGGAGCAUACCAAUACAUGCCGAUGAACCACCCCCACACGGAGCGGAAAAUCAAGGGUGGAGAACUUCACUAUACUGGGUGCACAGUCCGCAAGGCUUAGKGAGCAAAAACCCUUGGUGACAACUACAGGUCCUGCGAAUAACAGAAGUGAAGCAAGGACUACAACAAGAGAUAUGAAGAGAGCCAUACGGAAAUACCAYRGACAUWACAACUCAAAACCGUGCGCAAUUUUGUUAAUAUAUCACACUKUUACUGAAAUGAUAGUUAAAAUCAUACACAUCUUUUUUAUCGCCAUUUGUUUUCUACGUAAAGACAUCGAGAUUUUGUAAUGCCUUAGAACUAUAAUGAUAAUUAUGUAAUGUAUAUCAUCAUUACCCAAGUAUCCUUUUGUGAAUUACCUACAUGCAGCGAGAUUCGCAAUUAUUUUUUGU